CAUCUGCAAUUGCUGGUUGUUCAUCCUACUCUUUAUAACUAAGACACCAGGGCGCAGAUGGGUUACUGCUGUCUCCUCUUGCUGAGUCUCCCUGGGUCACGAUCGGACCCACCUCCUUCGCCAUAUCCACAUUAGCAGCAUCAUGAAGAUGAGGCGUCUUGGAUUUGCUCUCUUGGUUUGUAUUCCUUUAGUGUUGCAUGGAAGUUCAACUAUUUCCUUUCCAGAUGAGGAAGAUUCUACUCUUGUUAUCACAACAAUUGAUAGAUGCGGAGAUUACCCUGUAGUUAAGAAUGGUGAUGUUUUUCAAAAUGGCAGACAUUCCUUAACGUAUCUGUGCUCACCUACUUAUAUACUUGAGGGUCCAGAGACAGUGUUUUGUUACAGCAACAGGCAGUGGUCUGAAGUGCCCACCUGUAAAGCUAACUACUGCUCUGUGAACACUGAUGAAUAUCCCCAAAUAAAUGAUGAUGGAAUCAGAUUCAUAACAAACGGUGACACAAUGAUGCUGGAUUGUAAGGAUACCUUUUGGUUUCCCAAUUAUGCUUUGGUGGAAUGCAGUAAUGGAAUACCAAGGAUAUCAAAAUGUUGUAACAUGGGCCAAAUAAACAUGGGUUUGUGCUGGAUUCGGGGUGAGAUGAUGAACUGAAAAAAAAUAUCAGUGUGGAAGAUUUCAAGAAGACUUAUGAUCAUACUGUCAACAACUUCAGUGAUACUGUGCCGACUUGUCUGUGUUCAAAGCUGAAAAAUAUGAACCAACUUAAAAAGAUGUUCCCAGUUCAAUAAAGUUUUCUGGAGGAAGUUUAA